rnacentral:rRNA from 1 species
UACGGAGGAUGCAAGCGUUAUCCGGAAUGAUUGGGCGUAAAGCGUCCGCAGGUGGCUAUGUAAGUCUGCUGUUAAAGAGUGAGGCUCAACCUCAUAAGAGCAGUGGAAACUACAUGGCUAGAGUGCGUUCGGGGCAGAGGGAAUUCCUGGUGUAGCGGUGAAAUGCGUAGAGAUCAGGAAGAACACCGGUGGCGAAAGCGGCUCACUGGACCGGAACUGACGCUGAGGCGCGAAAGCGUGGGGAGCAAACAGG